GGGCCCGCACAAGCGGUGGAGCAUGUGGUUUAAUUCGAUGAUACGCGAGGAACCUUACCAGGGCUUAAAUGUAGUGGGACAGGUCUAGAGAUAGACCCUUCUUCGGACUCAUUACAAGGUGCUGCAUGGUUGUCGUCAGCUCGUGCCGUGAGGUGUCAGGUUAAGUCCUAUAACGAGCGCAACCCCUAUCGUUAGUUGCCAGCGGGUAAUGCCGGGAACUCUAAAGAAAACUGCCAAACGAUGAGUUGGAGGAAGGUGAGGACGACGUCAAGUCAGCAUGACCCUUAUGACUUGGGCUACACACGUGUUACAAUGGUAAUUACAAAAUGAAGCGAUAGGUAGACCUGGAGCAAA
rnacentral:rRNA from 1 species